AAGACCUUGCACUUUUGGAGCGGCCGAUGUCUGAUUAGCUAGUUGGUGGGGUAAUGGCCUACCAAAGCUUCGAUCAGUAGCUGGUCUGAGAGGACGGCCAGCCACACUGGGACUGAGACACGGCCCAGACUCCUACGGGAGGCAGCAGUGGGGAAUUUUGGACAAUGGGCGCAAGCCUGAUCCAGCCAUGCCGCGUGAGUGAAGAAGGCCUUCGGGUUGUAAAGCUCUUUCAGCCGGGAAGAAAAGGUUGCGAUUAAUAAUCGCAAUUUAUGACGGUACCGAAAGAAGAAGCACCGGCUAACUACGUGCCAGCAGCCGCGGUAAUACGUAGGGUGCGAGCGUUAAUCGGAAUUACUGGGCGUAAAGGGUGCGCAGGCGGUUUUGUAAGUCAGAUGUGAAAUCCCCGGGCUUAACCUGGGAACU
rnacentral:rRNA from 1 species